rnacentral:rRNA from 1 species
ACGCUAGCUACAGGCUUAACACAUGCAAGUCGAGGGGCAGCAUUUUAGUUUGCUUGCAAACUGAAGAUGGCGACCGGCGCACGGGUGAGUAACACGUAUCCAACCUGCCGAUAACUCCGGGAUAGCCUUUCGAAAGAAAGAUUAAUACCGGAUAGCAUACGAAUAUCGCAUGAUAUUUUUAUUAAAGAAUUUCGGUUAUCGAUGGGGAUGCGUUCCAUUAGUUUGUUGGCGGGGUAACGGCCCACCAAGACUACGAUGGAUAGGGGUUCUGAGAGGAAGGUCCCCCACAUUGGAACUGAGACACGGUCCAAACUCCUACGGGAGGCAGCAGUGAGGAAUAUUGGUCAAUGGGCGAGAGCCUGAACCAGCCAAGUAGCGUGAAGGAUGAAGGCUCUAUGGGUCGUAAACUUCUUUUAUAUGGGAAUAAAGUUUUCCACGUGUGGAAUUUUGUAUGUACCAUAUGAAUAAGGAUCGGCUAACUCCGUGCCAGCAGCCGCGGUAAUACGGAGGAUCCGAGCGUUAUCCGGAUUUAUUGGGUUUAAAGGGAGCGUAGGUGGAUUGUUAAGUCAGUUGUGAAAGUUUGCGGCUCAACCGUAAAAUUGCAGUUGAAACUGGCAGUCUUGAGUACAGUAGAGGUGGGCGGAAUUCGUGGUGUAGCGGUGAAAUGCUUAGAUAUCACGAAGAACUCCGAUUGCGAAGGCAGCUCACUAGACUGUCACUGACACUGAUGCUCGAAAGUGUGGGUAUCAAACAGGAUUAGACACCCUGGUAGUCCACACAGUAAACGAUGAAUACUCGCUGUUUGCGAUAUACAGUAAGCGGCCAAGCGAAAGCAUUAAGUAUUCCACCUGGGGAGUACGCCGGCAACGGUGAAACUCAAAGGAAUUGACGGGGGCCCGCACAAGCGGAGGAACAUGUGGUUUAAUUCGAUGAUACGCGAGGAACCUUACCCGGGCUUAAAUUGCAACAGAAUAUAUUGGAAACAGUAUAGCCGUAAGGCUGUUGUGAAGGUGCUGCAUGGUUGUCGUCAGCUCGUGCCGUGAGGUGUCGGCUUAAGUGCCAUAACGAGCGCAACCCUUAUCUUUAGUUACUAACAGGUUAUGCUGAGGACUCUAGAGAGACUGCCGUCGUAAGAUGUGAGGAAGGUGGGGAUGACGUCAAAUCAGCACGGCCCUUACGUCCGGGGCUACACACGUGUUACAAUGGGGGGUACAGAAGGCGGCUACCUGGUGACAGGAUGCUAAUCCCAAAAACCUCUCUCAGUUCGGAUCGAAGUCUGCAACCCGACUUCGUGAAGCUGGAUUCGCUAGUAAUCGCGCAUCAGCCAUGGCGCGGUGAAUACGUUCCCGGGCCUUGUACACACCGCCCGUCAAGCCAUGAAAGCCGGGGGUACCUGAAGUACGUAACCGCAAGGAGCGUCCUAGGGUAAAACUGAU